GUGCCAGCUGCCGCGGUAAUACGUAGGUGGCAAGCGUUGUCCGGAUUUAUUGGGCGUAAAGGAUGUGUAGGCGGAUAUUUAAGUGAGAUGUGAAAUCCCCGGGCUUAACUUGGGGGCUGCAUUUCAAACUGGGUGACUUGAGUGCAGAAGAGGAAAGCGGAAUUCCAAGUGUAGCGGUGAAAUGCGUAGAGAUUAGGAAGAAUACCAGUGGCGAAGGCGGCUUUCUGGACUGCAACUGACGCUGA
rnacentral:rRNA from 1 species